rnacentral:tRNA from 1 species
GUGUCUGUAGUGAGGCUGGUGCUCACGCUGGUUUGAAAAGCCAGAGACGGAGGCUCGAUCCCUCCCGGACACA